rnacentral:tRNA from 1 species
GGUCUUAUGGUCUAAGGGUAAUGACUUAACAACUUCACUGUUAAAAUGUUGGUUCAACUCCGACUAAGGCUA